rnacentral:rRNA from 1 species
GACGAACGCUGGCGGCGUGCUUAACACAUGCAAGUCGAACGGAAAGGCCCUGCUUUUGUGGGGUGCUCGAGUGGCGAACGGGUGAGUAACACGUGAGUAACCUGCCCUUGACUUUGGGAUAACUUCAGGAAACUGGGGCUAAUACCGGAUAGGAGCUCCUGCUGCAUGGUGGGGGUUGGAAAGUUUCGGCGGUUGGGGAUGGACUCGCGGCUUAUCAGCUUGUUGGUGGGGUAGUGGCUUACCAAGGCUUUGACGGGUAGCCGGCCUGAGAGGGUGACCGGCCACAUUGGGACUGAGAUACGGCCCAGACUCCUACGGGGGGCAGCAGUGGGGAAUAUUGCACAAUGGGCGGAAGCCUGAUGCAGCAACGCCGCGUGCGGGAUGACGGCCUUCGGGUGGUAAACCGCUUUCGCCUGUGACGAAGCGUGAGUGACGGUAAUGGGUAAAGAAGCACCGGCUAACUACGUG